UGCACGAAAGAGAUGGGAUUCAAACCCAGAAUAAAAAACCCAGGUACUCCCCCCCCUAAAAAAAUAAAUACUCGCCGUUUUCGAUUUUCAGUAAGCUGCCAAGCAAAAGCAUUAAUUAUUUCCACCUGGGGGAGUACGCCGGCAAACGGGGAAACUCAAAGGAAAAUGACGGGGGCCCGCCCAAGCGGAGGAACAAGUAGGUUUUAUUCGAUGAUACGCGAGGAACCUCACCCGGGCUUGAAUUGCAGAUGACAGGAGCCGAAACGCUUCUUUUUUCUGACAUCUGUGAAGAUACUGCAUGGUUGUAGUCAGCUCGUGCCGUGAGGUGUCGGCUUAAGUGCCAUAACGAGCGCAACCCUUAUCUUUAGUUGCUAACAGGUGAAUGCUGAGGACUCUAGAGAGACUGCCGUCGUAAGAUGUGAGGAAGGGAGGGGGGACGUCAAAUCAGCACGGCCCUUACGUCCAGGGCUACACACGUGUUACAAUGGGAGGCACAGAGGGCAGCUACCUAGCGAUAGGAUGGUAAUCUCAUAAAUCCUCUCUCAGUUCGGAUCGAAGUCUGCAAUUCGACUUCGUGAAGCUGGAUUCGCUAGUAAUCGCGCAUCAGCUACGGCGCGGUGAAUACGUUACCGGCCCUUGUACACACCGCCCGUCAAG
rnacentral:rRNA from 1 species